UCUUGGGAGAGUACAGUUUAAUGCACGCCUCAUAACGCAUGAUCGAGAACCCAAAGCCAGCAGUCUUCCUUGAGCACAAUCUAUCAAGGAAACCACACUUCACUCCCCCAGGGGUCCAUAGGGGUCUUCUAGCCCAACCAACCUGAUGCUGGCUACGAGGCUGUUUUAUCCAUCUGCCAAGCACCUGCACCAGUUUAACCGCAGCUCUCAGGACAGCACACUGAGACAGUUAGAGACCUACAGAUUGUCGCCAUUAUCUAGCUGUGCUGAUAGAGCAAGGAUGUUUGUCAUCGAAAGCUCCUGAAUAAAUGUAAAAAGCUUCUGA